AAAUCUGCGCAAGUGUCUGCUGUGUCCUUUAAACAUUCAUCACCGGCCCCAGCUCGACCUGCAAAACACAUCAUAAUAUAUUUUCUUACUGCAGGAAUUACGAUUGAAUUUAAAUAACACAUUGUAUGUGUAUGAAUUAAUAAUAAUCAAUCGUCUGCGUCUCAUAAAACACGUGAAUGCAAUCAAUAUUUCAAACAAAAAUACAAGAUUUCCCCCCCCCCCCCUCUUCUUAAUAGAAUUUAUUUUCCCUAUUUAAAAGCCCAGUCUGUCACGUGAUGCCUGAAAGACUCGGGGGGGAAAAAGUCCCGCGUGUGCACUUUUAAUACAAAGAAGAUAUUUAGCAGUCAUAAGCUGUUUUUUUUUUUUUUUUUUUUUUUUUUUUUUUUAAGUCGACGUUUAAUGAACAACGAGGAGCGCUUUUAAAAGCUUGACGUCGAAGCCGAAAGCUGCUCCGUGCACACACGUCGCAUCGGCUCCAAGAAAGUCCACGUUUAACCUUAUGGGGCUUGAGCAUCCAAACGCGGCUCGGACGUGGAAUUACUUGUAAAGGCUGGUCGAUCUCGGGCUGUUCAAGUGCUUUUGGGCCCCCUGGGCGACUAGUAGCAGACAUGCUCGCCUUUUCAAGGCGCAGUGUUCCUCGCCUACGCGCUGCUACGACAUUUCCAUACACCAGUGGAGACAGUAUUCCCGAAAGAGUGCAAGGACUCGGCUACCAAUAAAAAGCCAACAUUGGGUAUCCUUAUUUCUGCACAGCAAGGAGAGGAAAGAGGGGGAGGAAAAAAAAAAAAAAGAAAACCUCGCUGGCAAUCAAUCACCAAAUGAAAAAGCAGGAAUUCAAGUGUAAGGCCCCGUGUAGAUUUGGGAACUAAACAGUAGAAUAUUUCGUUUUGGGGAGGA